UACGGAGGGUGCAAGCGUUAAUCGGAAUUACUGGGCGUAAAGCGCGCGUAGGUGGCCAAGUCAGUCAGAUGUGAAAGCCCCGGGCUUAACCUGGGAAUUGCACCUGAUACUGCUUGGCUAGAGUAUGGUAGAGGGGUGUGGAAUUUCCUGUGUAGCGGUGAAAUGCGUAGAUAUAGGAAGGAACACCAGUGGCGAAGGCGACACCCUGGACCAAUACUGACACUGAGGUGCGAAAGCGUGGGGAGCAAACAGG
rnacentral:rRNA from 1 species